GAAGGCAAAAACACAUUAUUGGUGGCUUCACCCAACAUAUUAUUGUAUAUAGUUUGAUUGUUACGCUAAAUCAAGAUAAAAAUUGUUCUUUCAUAGACGGAGGACCUAGUACUAUAAAGGGGCACAUCUAUAAAAGGACUAUAAUUUUGCUAAGGAAGGCUUUUUGGUGUAUUCUCCUUAUUGAAGACAAAAACAAAAAUAAUGGUGGCUUCAUCAAGCAUAUUAUUGUAUAUAGUUUAAUUGUUAUGCUAAAUCCAUAUAAAAAUUAUGUUUCCAUGGAUGAAGGACCCGACACUAUAAAAAGGAUACAUCUAUAAAAGAUAUGUGUACUAGACUUUUUUUUGCGAAAGAAGGCUUUUUGGUGCACUCUCCUUAUUGAAGACAAAAACAUAUUAUUGGUGGU